UAACUCUUUACAUUUUUGCAUUAUUUUUGCAUCUUGUGUUAUUUAACGAAUGGUUUCUAAAUUGUUUGGUUUAAUAGGUUUACUUUUGACCAUGAAUGCGAAAUACCAUUUGCUUGAUUGAUUUAUCCAUUAACUUGACCUUUUACAAUUGUGAUUUUCAUGGUAUCGUGGAUCAAAUUUGAAAUGCAAUGGGCAUAUUCAUUUUUAUUGGUUAAGCACCAUUUAGGUUAUUAAAAGGUUUAAACACAUUUUGCCUCAUGGUUUGGAGAAAUUUGAUUCGGCGAAUUAAGAGAAAAAAAAUUGUGAACUAAAUCUAAAUUAACGGGUUUAUCUUUGCCUGAAAAAGUGUUUUGAAAAGAGAGUGUGUUUAUACCUGAAAACGUUUGCAACUGUACAUUCUUAAUCAGGCUCAUCAUUAUGUUAUUAAGGACAAUUUAACUACUCUUUAAUCGUCAAUGAUUUAAGUCAGACAGACACAUUUUCAUGUUCGCAGUUUCCUAUUCAAUCAGCUCUUUUUGGCAAUCAAAUCAACUAUACCCACACUCGAAAUAACAUAACAAAAAAGCAGAUGAAAAAGAUCAAUGCAAAAAGAAGUCCAUCAUUAUUUUAAUCGACAUUAUUUGAUUGUCUCUCAUUUCAAUCAAGUCUACUUUUUGUUUCACUAUUGAAUGGAAUGGAAGAAAGAAUUUUUAUUCAGAUAGAAGUCGAUAAACACAAAUCAGUUGCAACCACAACAACAUUUGGAAUCGAGUCCUAAAUUGGUUAUUUUUUGCUUCUUCUCUUCCGGAUUAAGAAAUUGAACUACAAUCUAAUUACAAAAGGACAAAUAUUACAAUUCUUUAUUCGAGUUGGCUUUGAUUUUAGAUGGUGAUUUAAGUAAAUAGCAACAAUGUAAACUGUUACACUUGACAACCUAACCCAAUGUAACCUAAAAAAGCAAGGAAGAACCCAAAAGAGAACAAUGGACCAGAAAAGAUACCAAAAACCAAAAAACAAGGAGUAAUUAUUUGAUUUGCACCUUCUUUACCAGUUAUAUCAGCUCAUCAGUUUCAAUGCUGUCUAAAAUAUUUACAAAGAUAUUACUUUUACCAUUGUAAUUUCAUUGAGGUAAAUAUAUCGUUGGACUCCCAGAAACAACCAUGUAAUAAACUGGAUAACCUAUGAAUGACCAGAUUUAUGAAAUUUUGGAAACAAUGGCGAGCAUAAUCAAGUCUUGUAGCUCAUCAUUUUGGAUCAACUAAAUACAUUAUGAAAAUACAGGCAAGUAAUGACGAUAUCAUAAUAAAUAUAAUACUUUGUUGAUCUAAUUGUUUAGCAAGUGAAUCAUCGAGACACUCAUAGGAAAGGUCCACAUGGUUGGUGACUAAAAUUUAAAAUAGAAUUUAAGAGAAAAUGGUUUUCUCUCCUGUUAACCCUGAAUCCAAGUUAUACAUUGAAAUGAAAACACUUGUUUCUGGUGGUAAAGCUGUAUGCUGCUGUUGCCCUGAUUAGAAGAGAAAGCGUCCACUAGAAAAUGUUGUUUGGAAUGGGCAAAGAACGGAUAAAGGCAUCUUCCUUCAGAAAAAAAAACACCUUGACCUUUCCAAGUAAAGGUUGUUGUCCGACUUUUUACCCAAACACACUCAACCGGCCUACUGACCUGGAGACAGACUCUUGUUUUAUCUUUCAUGUUUCUCUUUCUUUUGCCGUUCCGAUUCAAGUGGCUUAUCAACUACCCCUGGCUUCAUCUGGUUUUCAUCAUGUUUUAAUGCGUCUACAGGGUUAACUGGCCUUACUCUCCCUCUCAUCUUCACUUGCUCUUGAUGGUGUUUCAAAACAAGAAUCUGAACAAGAAAAUCAAGAAAAGAAAGAAAAGAAAGACUCCGUUCUACUAAAUCUGUAACCAUUUGUGGGAAUAUCUUUUAUCUUCAUCUUAUCAAGUUGAAUGGGUCGACGGGAAAAGUGAAGAGAGGAGCAAAACAAUUUUAAAGAUGAAGAUAAAAAUGAACAAGUAAAAGGCACACAGGUUCAUCACCAUGUAACUAAAAUCUCAUUGGAAUGGCAAAAUCUCGUUCUCAUUGUUACUGAUGUUUAUUUUGGAUAUUAAUGUUGCUGAUGAUUCUGGUGAUGACGUUUGCUUUUUUCGUUUGCGUUCUCUAUGAUUCAUUUGGAGGCAUUAAUUGUUCACAAUUGAUUGAGAAAAUUGAUUAUUCAUUUUCUCAUCCAAACGUUGUAUCAAGCUUGGACACAUAGUUCAAUAAUUACCAGCUCUUGGGGUACAAAACUUUCAAUGAGGAAACACUUGACUCUGUUGGAGGAUUCAAUGAUUUUCAUAGGACUUUCCUGGCCAUCAGUUAAUUUGAUUUCAAGUUUGCUUUAAUUGCAUUACUUUCAAGUUUAAUAAGAUUUGAUUUGAGAGUGAAAAGUUAUUGCUAUUAAAUUUGAAGAUAAUGCGGAAAUUUUCAAGGUAAAUCACAAAGUAUUGUUUGAUUUUACUCCAGGCGUGCUUCAAAUUAAGGUUAAUAUUAAACAAAAUAAUUUUGGCUUUAAAUUUGAUUUGAUGCUUUUCUCAUCAUCAAUGAUGCUAGGAUUUGUUUAAUGUGAUGAUGUUUACUUAAUCAAACUUGAAGAAAUAUCAAAUAAUUUAUCUAAUUGGUGAUUGUUUAUAGCUGCAUGAUAACUGUAGAAACAGAUUGAAAUGUUAAAAACAGUCAUUUUGACUGAAGGUCAACUUCCAAUGUUGGGUUAACGUUUUUGUUUUCCAGAUCAACUCAUCUUGAAAUAAUUUGAAACAUCCAAAUUCAUCAAAUGUUCAGGGUAUUUAAAACAGUUUAGUUGAUAUAAUAAAACCAAUAAAUAAAGUAAAAAAUGUUUGCUUUCCAUGAAAAUUUGUCUACAAAUUGCAGUGUCGGUUACCACCUACGUUAGUAUCUCUUUGAACUUGGGUUAAUUCCUAUGUCUUUACCUCACUUUGCUUACCUGUUCAUCAUUACCAUAGGAAUACAAUUUAUGUCCUCUUUACCUUCACAUAGAUCAAAUUGCCUGAAGCUUUUGUAAACCAAAAUCAAUAAAUAAUCAAGGUCAUUUUGUAA